rnacentral:rRNA from 1 species
AUGAUUGCGGAACGGCGAUCCUCUGGUGAUGCUCACGAUGACAUGCUGGAUGCUCUCUUGAGAAGCGGUGAUGACGGGACCAGGGAAAAGAUUAGCGAUGAGAAGAUCAUUGACUUGCUCAUCGCCCUCAUCUACUCCGGAUACGAAACCAUGUCGACCACUUCGAUGAUGGCUGUCAAGUACCUAUCGGAACAUCCGCGGGCCCUCGAAGAACUUAGGAGAGAGCAUCUUGAUAUCAGGAAGGGAAAAUCGCCGGACGAAGCCAUCAGCUACGAUGAUUUCAAGUCCAUGGCCUUCACUCGAGCUGUCAUUUUUGAGACGCUAAGAUUAGCCACAGUUGUGAAUGGACUGCUGAGGAAAACUACCAAGGAUGUAGAAAUGAAUGGGUAUGUCAUUCCAAAAGGCUGGAGAAUCUAUGUUUACACAAGGGAGGUAAACUAUGAUCCGUUCAUGUAUCCUGACCCGAUGACCUUCAAUCCGUGGAGAUGGCUGGAGAAGAACAUGGAAUCGCACCCGCACUUCAUGUUGUUCGGAGGGGGCGGCCGGAUGUGCCCCGGGAAGGAGGUGGGAACUGUCGAGAUCACGACUUUCCUCCACUAUUUCGUGACCCGAUAUAGAUGGGAGGAAGAAGGCAAGAACACAAUCUUGAAAUUUCCCCGGGUCGAAGCGCCCAACGGGCUGCAUAUCCGAGUUCAAGAUUACUGA